rnacentral:rRNA from 1 species
UACGUAGGUGGCAAGCGUUGUCCGGAAUUAUUGGGCGUAAAGCGCGCGCAGGCGGUCCUUUAAGUCUGAUGUGAAAGCCCACGGCUCAACCGUGGAGGGUCAUUGGAAACUGGGGGACUUGAGUGCAGGAGAGAAGAGUGGAAUUCCACGUGUAGCGGUGAAAUGCGUAGAGAUGUGGAGGAACACCGGUGGCGAAGGCGGCAUCCUGGACCGACAUUGACGCUGAACGGCGAAAGCUAGGGGAGCAAACGGG